AAAGAAACUAACAAGGAUUCCCCUAGUAACUGCGAGUGAAGAGGGAAAAGCUCAAAUUUAAAAUCUGACAGGCUUUGGCUGUCCGAGUUGUAAAUUAGAGAAGUGUUAUCCGCUCAAGCCUGUGCAAAAGUCUCUUGGAAAAGGGCAUCAUAGAGGGUGACAAUCCCGUCUUUGGCACAGAUCACUUGUGCUUUUGUGAUACACUCUCGAUGAGUCGAGUUGUUUGGGAAUGCAGCUCCAAAUGGGUGGUAAAUUCCAUCUAAAGCUAAAUAUGGGCGAGAAACCGAUAGCGCACAAGUACCGUGAGGGAAAGAUGAAAAGAACUUUGAAAAGAGAGUUAAACAGUACGUGAAAUUGUUGAAAGGGAAACGCUUGAAGUCAGUCGUAUCCUUCAGAAUCAACCUGACUUUUGGUUGGGUAUACUUUUUGUUGGAUGGGUCAGCAUCAAUUUUGAUCAUUGGAUAAAGGAUUUGGGAAUGUGGCAUCUUUAGAUGUGUUAUAGCCCUUGUUUGUAUACAAUGAUUGGGAUUGAGGAACUCAGUGUGACUUUGGUCUGGGGGUAUUUAUUACCUCACACACGCACUUAGGAUGCUGGCAUAAUGGCUUUAAUCGACCCGUCUUGAAACACGGACCAAGGAGUCUAACAUACAUGCAAGUGUUUGGGUGGAAAACUCAAGCGCGUAAUGAAAGUGAAAGUUGAGAACCCUGUCAUGGGGUGCACCGACGCCCGGUCUUGACCUUUUGUGACGGACCUGCGGUAGAGCAUGUAUGUUGGGACCCGAAAGAUGGUGAACUAUGCCUGAAUAGGGUGAAGCCAGAGGAAACUCUGGUGGAAGCUCGUAGCGAUUCUGACGUGCAAAUCGAUCGUCAAAUUUGGGUAUAGGGGCGAAAGACUAAUCGAACCAUCUA
rnacentral:rRNA from 2 species